UUAAUGAGUCUAAAAAACUCCAACCCGUGUCUACCAUACCUGUUCGUUGCCUCGGCGGUCAAGCCUGGCGCUCCUCCUCUGGAAGAGCUGCCGGCGGCCACCGUCGGGGGUUCCAAACCCUGAUUUUUAGUGUAUCUCUGAGACAAAAAACAAAUAAUUAAAACUUUCAACAACGGAUCUCUUGGUUCUGGCAUCGAUGAAGAACGCAGCGAAAUGCGAUAAGUAAUGUGAAUUGCAGAAUUCAGUGAAUCAUCGAAUCUUUGAACGCACAUUGCGCCCCCUGGUAUUCCGGGGGGCAUGCCUGUUCGAGCGUCAUUUCAACCCUCAGGCCCAGCCUGGUGUUGGGGCGGCGGGCCCAUCAGCGGCCCCGCGCCCCCAAGUCCAUCGGCGGGACCGUCGGGACCCUGAGCGCAGUAGCACGCGGUAAAACGCGCCUCGCUCGGCGGCCCCCGGCGCUGCCCCGGCCGCUAAACCCCCCAAAUUUUACAAGGUUGACCUCGGAUCAGGUAGGAAUACCCGCUGAACUUAAGCAUAUCAAUAAGCGGAGGAAAAGAAACCAACAGGGAUUGCCUCAGUAACGGCGAGUGAAGCGGCAACAGCUCAAAUUUGAAAUCUGGCCCCAGGCCCGAGUUGUAAUUUGCAGAGGAUGCUUUUGGCGACGCGCGCACCGAGUCCCCUGGAAUGGGGCGCCGCAGAGGGUGAGAGCCCCGUAUGGUGCGACGCCGAGCCUCUGUAAAGCUCCUUCGACGAGUCGAGUAGUUUGGGAAUGCUGCUCUAAACGGGAGGUAAAUUUCUUCUAAAGCUAAAUAUUGGCCAGAGACCGAUAGCGCACAAGUAGAGUGAUCGAAAGAUGAAAAGCACUUUGAAAAGAGGGUUAAAAAGCACGUGAAAUUGUUGAAAGGGAAGCGCUAGUGACCAGACUUGCGCCCUGGGGAUCAUCCGGCGUUCUCGCCGGUGCACUCCCCAGGGCUCAGGCCAGCAUCGGUUUUCGCCGGGGGACAAAAGCUUCGGGAACGUGGCCCCCCUUCGGGGGGGUGUUAUAGCCCGUGGCAUAAUACCCCGGCGGGACCGAGGACCGC
rnacentral:misc_RNA from 1 species